ensembl:lncRNA
CUGAAUAGUUCUCUCAAGAGUUGUCUAAAGGAAGUGUCCAUAGUUAACAGAGCGAGUUAAUACUACGACGCUGUUAUUUUACCCACACGUUUUUGUUGUUGCCUACACUUCACUUGUAAUUUUUGGAACACGUUUUCAGGAGCAAACAACCCCUGUACCGCCAAUGCCAACAAUCGCAAUCAUGGGUUUGACCAACAGACGGAGCUAUUCUAUUGUCGGAUGUGAAUGCUAGUACAUGUUCACAAAAAGCUUUUUUUUUUUUUUUAAAUGUUAUGAAUUUGAGCAUACCUCUAAAGGGUUACAUCAUGGAGUUUGACACUUGAGAUGCAUAAUGACAUGCUCGACCUACAGUACCAGGCAAAAGUUUGGACACACCGAAUCAAUCCAGGUUUUUCCUACAUUUUUUCCUACUUUCUACAUUGUAGAAUAAUAGUGAAGACCUCAAAACUAUGAAAUAACACACAUGGAAUCAUGUAGUAACCAAAAAUAUAUUUCAGAUUUGAGAUUCUUCAAAGUGGCCACCUUUUGCCUUGACAGCUUUGGCACUCUCUCAACCAGCUUCAUGAGGUAGUCACCUGGAAUGCAUUUCAAUUAACAGCUGUGCCUUGUUAUAAGUUAAUUUGUGGAAUUUCUUUCCUUCUUAAUGCGUGUGAGCUAUUCAGUUGUGUUGUGACAAGGUAGGGGUGGUAUACAAAAGACUAUUUGGUAAAAGACCAAGUUCAUAUUAUGGCAAGAACAGCUCAAAUAAGCAAAGAGAAACAACAGUCCAUCAUUACUUUAAGACAUGAAGGUCAAUCAAUCUGGAACAUUUCAAGAUCUUUUAAAGUUUCUUCAAAUGCAGUCUCAAAAACCAUCAAGUGCUAUGAUGAAACUGGCACUCAUGAGGACCGCCACAGAAAGAAAGACCCAGAGUUUCCUCUGCUGCAGAGGAUAAGUUCAUUAUAUUUACCAGCCUCAGAAAUUGCAGCCCAAAUAAAAGCUUCACAGAGUUCAAGUAACAGACGCAUCUCAAAAUCAACUGUUCAUAGGAGAUUGCAUGGAUCAGACCUUCAUGGUCAAUUUGCGGCAAAGAAACAACUACUGAAAGGACACCAAUAAUAAGAAGAGACUUACUUGGGCCAAGAAACACGAACAAUGGACAUUAGACCGGUGGAAAUCUGUCCUUUCGUCUGAUGAGUCCAAAUCUGGGAUUUUUGGUUCCAACCGCCGUGUCUUGCUGAGACACAGAGUAGGUGACCAGAUGAUCUCUGCAUGUGUGGUUCCCAUGAAGCAUGGAGAAGGAGGUGUGAUGGUGUGGGGGUGCUUUGCUGGUGACACUGAUUUAUUUAGAAUUCAAGGCACACUUAACCAGCAUGGCUACCACAGCAUUCUGCAGUGAUAUGACAUCCCAUCUGGUUUGCGCUUAGUGGGACUAUCAUUUGUUUUUCAACAGGACAAUGACCCAACACAUCUCCAGGCUAUGUAAGGGCUAUUUGACCAAGAAGGAGAGUGAUGAAGGUCUGCAUCAUAUGGCCUGGCCUCCACAAUCACCCGACCUCAACCCUGUUGAGAUGGUUAGGGAUGAGUUAGACCACAGAGUGAAGCAAAAGCAGCCAACAAAGUGAUCAGCAUGUGGGAACUCCUUCAAGACUGUUAGAAAAGCAUUCCAUGUGAAGCUGGUUUAGAGAAUGCCAAGAGUGUGCAAAGCUGUCAUCAAGGCAAUGGGUGGCUACUUUGAAGAAUCUAAAAUAUAUUUUGAUUUGUUUAACACUUUUUUGGUUACUACAUGAUUCCAUGUGUGUUAUUUCAUAGUUUGUCUUCACUAUUAUUCUACAAUGUAGAAAAUAGUCAAAAUAAAGAAAAAAAACUAAAGUGAAUAGGUGUCCAAACAUUUGACUGGUACUGUAUAUUCGACCUUACUUCAGUGAAAUAUGUAAAUUCCUCAGGAGGAAACAUACAGUAAUAUAAUAUGUUAAUAAUGAUACUGUUAAUUGUCUGUGCACAUUUUUGUGAUAAUUAUAACAAUAAUAUCAUAAUUAUACUGUUAGGCC